rnacentral:rRNA from 1 species
UACGUAGGAUGCAAGCGUUGUCCGGAAUUAUUGGGCGUAAAGAGCGCGCAGGCGGUAUGACAAGUCAGAUGUGAAAGAGGCCGGCUUAACCGGCAAGGGUCAUUUGAAACUGUCAGACUAGAGUGCAGCAGAGGAUAGUGGAAUUCCCGGUGUAGUGGUGAAAUGCGUAGAUAUCGGGAGGAACACCAGUGGCGAAGGCGACUAUCUGGGCUGCAGCUGACGCUGAGGCGCGAAGGCUAGGGUAGCAAACAGG